rnacentral:rRNA from 1 species
AACGAACGCUGGCGGCAUGCCUAACAUAUGCAAGUCGAACGAAACCUUCGGGCCUAUGGGCGCACCUGUGCGUAACGCGUGGGAACCUACCCGUAGGUUCGGAAUAACUCCCCGUAAGAGAUGCUAAUACCAGUUAAUGUCAUCGCGCCUAAGAUCUAUCGCUAUUGGGUGGGGCCGGGUUGGAUUCGCGGGUUGGUAGUGUAAAAGCCGACCAACGGGACGAUGCAUGGCUGGUGGGUGAGGAUGACCAGCCCGACUGGGACUGAGACACGGCCCAGACCCCGACGGGGGGGAGGGGUGGGGAAUAUUGGACAAUGGGCGAAAGCCUAGUACAGCAAUGCCGCGUGAGUGAGGAAGGCGUUAGGGUUGUAAAGCUGUUUUACCCGGGAUGAUAAUGACAGUAACGGGUGAAUAAGCACCGGCUAACUCCGUG